rnacentral:rRNA from 1 species
CCUACGUGUGGCAGCAGUGGGGAAUAUUGCACAAUGGGGGAAACCCUGAUGCAGCGACGCCGCGUGAGCGAUGACGUAUUUCGGUAUGUAAAGCUCUAUCAGCCGGGAAGAAAAUGACGGUACCUGACUAAGAAGCCCCGGCUAACUACGUGCCAGCCGCCGCGGUAAUACGUAGGGGGCAAGCGUUAUCCGGAUUUACUGGGUGUAAAGGGAGCGUAGACGGCGGUGCAAGCCAGAUGUGAAAGCCCGGGGCUCAACCCCGGGACUGCAUUUGGAACUGGGCUGCUAGAGUGGCGGAGAGGCAGGCGGAAUUCCGAGUGUAGCGGUGAAAUGCGUAGAUAUUAGGAGGAACACCAGUGGCGAAGGCGGCCUGCUGGACGAUGACUGACGUUGAGGCUCGAAAGCGUGGGGAGCAAACAGGAUUAGAUACCCGAGUAGUC